rnacentral:rRNA from 1 species
UGCGAGUCGCGCGAGAUGUAGCAAUACAGGAAAGCGGCGGAAGGGAGAGGACAACAUGGGAAACUGCCCUGGGGACGAGGAUAGCGUCGGGAAACUGACGGUAAUACUCGAUAAUGUUUGCGGACCAAAGGUGUGAUUCCGCCCCAGGAUGUGCCCAUGCCCCAUUAGCUAGUUGGCGGUGUAAUGGACCACCAAGGCUAUGAUGGGUAGCUGGUGUGAGAGCACGACCAGCCUCACUGGCACUGAGACACUGGCCAGACACCUACGGGUGGCUGCAGUCGAGAAUCUUCGGCAAUGGACGAAAGUCUGACCGAGCGACGCCGCGUGCGGGAUGAAGGCCUUCGGGUUGUAAACCGCUGUCGAGGGGAAUCAAAUGCAAGGGGGUUCUCCCCCCUGCUUGAGAGAACCCUGGAGGAAGGGGAGGCUAAGCUCGUGCCAGCAGCCGCGGUAAGACGAGCUCCCCAAACGUUAUUCGGUAUCACUGGGCUUAAAGAGUUCGUAGGCGGCGAAGUAGGUGAGGUGUGAAAGCCCUCGGCUCAACCGAGGAACUGCGCUUCAAACCACUUUGCUAGAGGGAGAUAGGGGUAAGCGGAACAGAUGGUGGAGCGGUGAAAUGCAUUGAUAUCAUCUGGAACACCGGUGGCGAAAGCGGCUUACUGGGUCUUUUCUGACGCUGAGGAACGAAAGCUAGGGUAGCGAAAC